rnacentral:lncRNA from 1 species
GCCGCUAUCAAUCGGUUUUCUCUCUUCUCCUCCAUUCUUCAUCUUUUGUUUGUUGUUUUCUACAUGGUAUCAGAGCGGGUUUGAUUUUGGGUUAACACUAGCAAACUUCCGUUCUCCGACAAGAGGCCUCGUGCCGCUCAUCUGGUGGUCAAAAUUUUUUUUCUCUGGUUUAAUUAUUUUCUUUACGUUUCUACACAUAUUUCUCAUUCCCAAUCUCCUCUGCAACCAAAAAAAAAAAAAUCUUAGUUUGCUAUUGUCAAUUUCAAAUCUCCUUUUGUGUUAAACUGAUGGAGCCUUCUUUUGUUCGGCAAAUGGGUCAAACCCUUCUUAGUACUAUCUAGAAUAAAUACGCCUCAAUUUCACCGGUGCUUUCUGUGAGAAUUGGAGGUCCAUUUGUUUGUUAAUUUAGGUUAUUCGAAAAGGCUGGAAAUUAAGUAGCCG